GCAGUAAGGAAUAUUGGUCAAUGGGCGGAAGCCUGAACCAGCCACGCCGCGUGCAGGAAGAAGGCCCUACGGGUUGUAAACUGCUUUUAUACGGGAAGAACCGCCCUCCUGCGGGGGGGUAUGACGGUACCGUAGGAAUAAGCAUCGGCUAACUCCGUGCCAGCAGCCGCGGUAAUACGGAGGAUGCAAGCGUUAUCCGGAUUCAUUGGGUUUAAAGGGUGCGUAGGUGGGUCCAUAAGUCAGUGGUGAAAUCCGGCAGCUCAACUGUCGCACUGCCUCUGAUACUGUGGGUCUUGAGUUAAGUUGAAGCAGGCGGAAUAUGACAUGUAGCGGUGAAAUGCAUAGAUAUGUCAUAGAACACCGAUAGCGAAGGCAGCCUGCUAAACUUACACUGACACUGAUGCACGAAAGCGUGGGUAGCGAACAGGAUUAGAUACCCUGGUAGUCCACGCCGUAAACGAUGAUCACUCGCUGCAUGCGAUAUACGGUAUGUGGCCAAGC
rnacentral:rRNA from 1 species